rnacentral:rRNA from 1 species
UGGGGAAUUUUGGACAAUGGGCGAAAGCCUGAUCCAGCAAUGCCGCGUGUGUGAAGAAGGCCUUCGGGUUGUAAAGCACUUUUGUCCGGAAAGAAAUCCUUGGCUCUAAUACAGUCGGGGGAUGACGGUACCGGAAGAAUAAGCACCGGCUAACUACGUGCCAGCAGCCGCGGUAAUACGUAGGGUGCAAGCGUUAAUCGGAAUUACUGGGCGUAAAGCGUGCGCAGGCGGUUUGCUAAGACCGAUGUGAAAUCCCCGGGCUCAACCUGGGAACUGCAUUGGUGACUGGCAGGCUAGAGUAUGGCAGAGGGGGGUAGAAUUCCACGUGUAGCAGUGAAAUGCGUAGAGAUGUGGAGGAAUACCGAUGGCGAAGGCAGCCCCUGGGCCAAUACUGACGCUCAUGCACGAAAGCGUGGGGAGCAAACAGGAUUAGAUACCCUGGUAGUCCACGCCCUAAACGAUGUCAACUAGUUGUUGGGGAUUCAUUUCCUUAGUAACGUAGCUAACGCGUGAAGUUGACCGCCUGGGGAGUACGGUCGCAAGAUUAAAACUCAAAGGAAUU